CUCGUGUCGUGAGAUGUUGGGUUAAGUCCCGCAACGAGCGCAACCCUUGCCAUUAGUUGUCAGCGAGUCAUGUCGGAUACUCUAAUGGGACGUGCCGGUGACGAGCCGGAGGAAGGUGGGAUGACGUCAAGUCAGCAUGGCCUUUAUGUCCAGGGCCACACACGUGCUACAAUGGACGGUACAGAGGGACGCAAGACCGCAAGGUGGAGCAAAUCCUCAAAACCGUUACUCAGUUCGGAUUGUAGGCUGCAAUUCGCCUACAUGAAGCUGGAAUUGCUAGUAAUCGCAGAUCAGCUACGCUGCGGUGAAUACGUUCUCGGGCCUU
rnacentral:rRNA from 1 species